rfam:Trichosporon oleaginosus strain IBC0246 unplaced genomic scaffold CC85scaffold_80, whole genome shotgun sequence.
GGGACUGUGGUGUAGUGGUAGCAUGUUCGCUUUGGGAUUCUGAUCACGUUGCGAAUGGUCCGGGGUUCAAUCCCCUGCUGUCCCC